rnacentral:rRNA from 1 species
UACGAAGGGGGCUAGCGUUGCUCGGAAUUACUGGGCGUAAAGCGCACGUAGGCGGAUUGUUAAGUCGGGGGUGAAAUCCUGGAGCUCAACUCCAGAACUGCCUUCGAUACUGGAGAGCUCGAGUCCGGGAGAGGUGAGUGGAACUGCGAGUGUAGAGGUGAAAUUCGUAGAUAUUCGCAAGAACACCAGUGGCGAAGGCGGCUCACUGGCCCGGUACUGACGCUGAGGUGCGAAAGCGUGGGGAUCAAACAGG